rnacentral:rRNA from 1 species
AUGGAUGUGUAUGGACACAAUCUUAAUGUCGGACAACUGUCAGCGGGUGCAAUUUGGAUUCAUAACUGGGAAGGUGAUGUUAACAAAAAACUCAAUACAAUUAUUGUUGGUUGGGUGGUUUGGCCAUAUCGAUUUAAUGACUCGCGUACUCACCUUUUUACAUUUUGGACAAAAGAUAAUCAUCGAAGUACAGGGUGUGUCAACCUCGAUUGUCCUGGCUUUAAACUCGUGAAGGGGUCCCCCAUAUCUCCUGGUGAUAUCAUAAGUCCUGUCUCCGGUAUCAAUAGGAAAUGCCAAACGAUUACUAUUAGAGUGUCCAAGGAAAGUUCAAGUGGGGACUGGUGGUUGUACUAUGGCAUCAACGGUGUCCCAAUUCCAGUAGGUUACUUCCCAGCAUCACUAUUUGACAGCUUAUCUACAAAAGCCACUCAAAUAUCAAUUGGAGGGCAUGCUCGAAGUACUAGAAAUACUAUAGCUCCUCCUAUGGGAAGUGGAGCCUUUUCCUCUAACCCUGGUUAA